CAAAGAAGUCACGAGGACUCCCUUCUUCGAUCCCGUCCGGUAUUCCAAUAAAGGAGAUCUCAUUCCACCUGUCGAUUUGAUGUGAUAUCGAACGAUGAAUAAACUCUGUGGUGAUGACUACAGGUUCGAAACCCUGACGAGCGAGAAGCGAAGCUAAUUUGAUUAUGGGAGUGACAUGCCCUUGUGCCGGAUAAGGAACUAAAAUGAUUUUUGGUCUGUUUUGGUUAGUCAUAGAUUGUUGCUUUUUACGUAGAAGCAACUCUGUUUUACAUGGGAGAGGAAUGGGACUUGGUUUAUUCUUAAUUUAUAGGACUCAUGAUCAGAGGAAAAGGGAAAGGAUAAAUAAUUAAAUGUGAAAUUGUAAAUCCAUGUUCUUAUUGAGGGGCAUAACUGUUUGUUUGGCUGGUUACAGUUGCAAAUAGUUAUAUAUACAGUUGCGCAUAGGGGGAAAUUUGUUCCAACCAUCAACUUAGAGCAAAUACACAAUGUCCUAGCAAAUGCCUUAUAAAUAUAAUAAAAUAAUGUGUCGUAGUGAUUUAGGACAUCAUCUUAAUAUAUUAACUCCAACAACAUGCCUCAUUAUUGUGCCUUAUUAUUAAAAUAUUAAUAUAUUUGAAUUGUUAUUGAAGGGAAAUGAAAAGGAGAGAGGAGAGAGAUGUAGUGGAAUGGUAGGAUACUAUUUUUUUUAUUGAAUAAGGCAUGCAUAGUGGUGCCUCAAAAAUAAAGCAUUUGUUACAUGUCCUAGUGUUUUAAGGCACCACUAAGAUAUUGUUGGAGCAUCGAUUUGCUUCACAUACCUUAAAUUUUGAUUUAGGACGUCAAUACAGGGCACUCUUGGAUUUGCUCUUACUUUUCAGUGACAUGUCUAGAAGGUGCUACUAAAAAUUCUAAGUAUCUCCAACUGAUCUAUAUAUAGUAUAUUAUAUUAUUUUUCAUUAAAUAUGCGGGAUAGGAUCCUUAAAUUUACAUUACCUUUUCUAGGAUAACGUAUAGUUAAAAUCAUUAUUUAAAAAAUAAUAAUAAUUUUAACUAAACGGUCAAAAGAGUUAAAAAUGUGCGCCAAAAAAUCAAGCGACUUGAGUGUAUUUUACAUUCAAUCAAGUGGACUUGCCCUAUCAUAAUUCCCACUGCAUAGGGCAAUGCUAGAGACCCCAAAUUUUUUUUCCAAAAUUUGUUACCAAAUGACAUGGAUAAUAAGUGGCGAAAUUUGAUUGGGUGAUUGAUGAAUCUGCAGGGGGGCCUCAUUAUUAUGGGAAUGAAUGCAACCAAUGAAAUUUCGUCACAUCAUUUGGGAAAAAAAUUUGGGAUAAAUAUUUGGGGUCCCUAGCAUUUUCCCACUGCAUAUUCGUCCGACUAAUUGCAAACCCUUUUGUUUGGCGACUGUUUCGCGGAUAUUGUGAAAACUAAAAUCUACAAAAUGAUUAAAGAAACAUAAACUAAAUAUGUGAUAAUUGAAACAUUCAAGGCUGCAGCUGCAAAGCCAUACCAUGCAUUUAACACGGCGCAAUAUUUAACUCCUGCACAUGUGACAUAAAAGAUAUGACCGGAUAUAACUGUAGAACCCACUGACAGCGCAAUGUUCGUUGUUAGUUGUACUGUAACUUGUAAGCCUAUCAUGGAAUAAUAAUUUGGUCAAUUCUAAAUUACACAUAUUGAUUUGUGCGUGGCUGCGUGCGAGCAUGUAUGCAAAACUAUUAUUGUGCAGCCGGUAGGUAAGGUGGUGUUAUUACCGUGUUUAAUUAGCGCAGCAAGGAGGGGUGAGAGAGGGAGUUGGGGAUUCUUCCGCCCGAUUCCUCUCUGGUUACUUUUCCGGUUCCUGUCGAAAAAUCGAGGAAUAGCGAAGUAAAAUCAAACGGCCAGUGAAUAUAAAUAUUUUUUUUUGAAUAUCAUAUUUUAUUUUCAGGAUUCCAUGAAAAUUAUAUAUUUAAUAUAUUUUUAUGUUUCAUUCAGAUUAUUCACAACCUCCUCUUCCUCUUUUAAGGUAACUGCUCAUCAUUUGGCCACUUAUAAAAAUAUUGUUAUUUAUUUAACAUAAACUUAUUUUCCAGAUAUCUUGACCAAGUCAAAACCACAACUAACACAACUAAAUUUUCAUAUAGCAGCGGAGCGGGGUGGAAUUAUAUUAAAUCCGCAAUCGAGCGGGAUGGGAUUAAAAAUAUAUCCCCGUGAGGAAUGACACGAGGACGGGACAAGGAAAAAUAUAUAUGAGGUGGGGAUAGGGAAAUGAAAUCCCCGUCCCGAACCCGCCGCGUCCCGAACCCGCCGCCCCAUUUUUAACCCUAGUUUUGAAAGAGGACUAAUUUGAAACGAAUAGUAUGUAACAGCCCAGUUUUGUAUAAUUAGAUUUCGAUCAGUGUUAUCUUAAAUGUAUAACUUUGUAUCCAUAUUUCUCUGCAAAAUUCAUGUUAUAAGUUUGGGCCAACAGCAAGAAACGUCACAAAUUAAACAGAAACGUGACUUUGUCACCUUGUGCGCAAAUAGAAGGAUAGGGUGUUGGGUUGUGCGAGCAGGAUAAAACGGCUGGGACAGAACAUCAAGGCUGCAUUAUUUUAUCAUUUUUUGUCUUGUGCUGAGAUGCUAAUGCUGAAGUGCCACUUGAACAAAACGGCAAGCCAAUAGUUGGGUUUAAAGUUUCGGCGGUGCAUUGCAUCCUACACUUUCCACUUAUAUAUUCUGGUGAUAAGCAUCAGAUGCCUCCAAAAUGUCGGCAUGGCUGCAAAUGUUUAAUUUUUUUGACAUGAUUUGUUAUAAAAUUUAGUCAUUAUAUCGCUCAUAUACUUUCUAAUAUGCAUAUUGGAUGUUAUAUGGCCAACUCCUUAAUCCACUACAUAUUUGAUGUUAUCAUAAUAUGAAAUUUAAAACAUGCAAUCAACUUGAACAAAUUUACUGCAGCUUACAGAACCAAAAUUUGUUUAUAGGACCAACUUUAAUUUUACGAAAAGGCAUAAACCAACUUAAGUGUUACAGAACUGCAUUUCAGCAUCACCACCAUCAGCAUCGUCCCCGCCUAUGUCAUUCUCAGAAAUUUCACCAUAAGUACUGUCUUUGUUUGCAUCUUCUAUUUAUUUCCUGCAUCAACCACAAAAUGAGUUUAUAUAUAGCUAUUAUUAAGUUUACCAAAAUUAACACCUGUUCCUUAAGAGUUAAGACCAAAUUCUGAUAUCAUUUAUAGGACCUGUUAGAUGAACCUAACUUCGCAAUAGUAUAAUAUAAUCCGUUUCGGAGGAGCCGGCUUUGUACAUGGCAUCUCUCCAAAAAACCUAUAUUCUAUCCAUCUACCCCUCCCACAACGUGGGACAACUCCUAAAAAUAAUUGCAUGUCAAACUGGGAUGUAGUUGGAUAUCAUUGUCCUCCAUGUCAAUGGUAAAUUUGGAGAUGUGAUUGUAUAGAUGAAAAUUUGUUUGCACCUGAUUCUGUGUUUAGUACUUCCUCUCCCGGAUAUAAUCAAAGAGGGAAAUUGAAAGUCAAUAAUUAAUACGUGGCUGUCAUUAACUUGGAGCAAUUAAAAUGCGAAAUAAUUAUGGUUGUGAGUUGUAUACGAUAUUUUACGACAAAUAGGGAAUCGGGUCGGAUUUUUUAUCCAUAUCCGAACUCGACCCGAUGUGUAAAAAUAGUGCUUCAAUAAGAUCUUUAAAAAUAUAAGCGGCUCAUCUCUCUCCUCUCUUUUAAAGAAUAUCUAGGUACUCUUGACUUGUGAGUAUACUACGCACACGAAAUUCAACUUGUGAGUAAAUGAAUACUCAUGGCCGGUUGCUGUGAGGGGGAAUUUAAAGAGUUGAUAGGUCUUAUUAGGGAUGUGUUGCGUGAAGAGCAUAAACUAUUGUCAAAUUAUCAAGAAAUCUAGAAGACUUUUAGAGACUUAAACUCGGAUCCAAAAAUUCAUGCAUAGCAGAAUGAUUGCAUGUUGUUUUAUGAUGAUUAUAGUGACAUGCAGUGAUAGCCGUAGAGAAAUUCAGGUUAAAUCCGUAGCGGUCAUGGUGAUUUUUAUUUAUCAUAUCUUUCUCCUUUUGGCUCCUUAAAUCGAUCUGUUCAUUCUCCGCUAGCUGGCUUGCAAGGUGGAAGGGAGCCCGAUGAUUUGAUGACUCGUCCUGUCUACUAAGACAUGUAGGUGAUGGUCAUGGAUUUAGAAUAAAUUUUAAUAAAUUUUGUUGGUGGCGUUUGGCCAAGAUUUAAAAGUCCAGCUUCUAAGUUAGAAGCACUUAUUCGUGCAAACAUAAAAAGUUAAAGAAGUACGUAAAAGAAGUUAAGAAUACUGGCUGUUUAUGCUGUAAUUUUAGGGUUAAGUGCUAAAGAAUAUCAACUAAGAACAAUAAAGUAAAACACGAGAAAUUGGUUACGCGGAAAACCCUUGUGAGGUAAAAACCGCGGGAGGGUUCGGAACCCUGCCAGAAAGAUGUUCACUAAGUAAAUUGUUACAAGAGUUUGUAGUGUAUUGUGUCCUCUCUAUCUAUUAUUCUGUCCUAUUUAUAAUACAAUUUCUACAACUGAAUUCUAACGUUACUCUAAUCAUCCUUAUCCUCCCAUAACAGAUCGUGCGAUGCGCCCUGCCUAUCUCCACUCCUGCUUUGACCCGUUAUUCUCUCUGAUCAGUUAAUAUUUCGAAACUCCCUUAUCCAGUCUUCAGGUUUAAGUAUCAUGUCCUGUCUCUGGUGUCAUGUCAUCUUGUCAUGUCGAACGACGUGUCAAUUGAGAAUAAUUGGGUAAUAACACGAAUGAUCAGAACGAGAAUUCUUGGAAGUCGGAUGAAAAUAACAAUUGUAUUUGCGAUGAUUAACAUGUUAAAGAACAGAAAGUCACCUGAAUCAGAAAUAAACCCGGUUCGGAUCAUGUCAGGUAUGGCUUUGAUCAAAUGAUAUAUUUCGACCAUAGCGGGCCAAAAUCCCGCUACUGGUAUCCCCCUUUGCCUGCCAACUUUAAUAGCCCAUGAAGCCAACAAAUCUACCAUCAAACAUGCAAUUACACCCCCACCUUGUUCCUCCUCUGCUCGAGACUUCACAAGUAUUCUUUCCAGAGACGCGGGCAUAACGUUUUCCAUAGCUCUUUCCGUGGCAAAGAAGUCACGAGGACUCCCUUCUUCGAUCCCGUCCGGUAUUCCAAUAAAGGAGAUCUCAUUCCACCUGUCGAUUUGAUGUGAUAUCGAACGAUGAAUAAACUCUGUGGUGAUGACUACAGGUUCGAAACCCUGACGAGCGAGAAGCGAAGCUAAUUUGAUUAUGGGAGUGACAUGCCCUUGUGCCGGAUAAGGAACUAAAAUGAUUUUUGGUCUGUUUUGGUUAGUCAUAGAUUGUUGCUUUUUACGUAGAAGCAACUCUGUUUUACAUGGGAGAGGAAUGGGACUUGGUUUAUUCUUAAUUUAUAGGACUCAUGAUCAGAGGAAAAGGGAAAGGAUAAAUAAUUAAAUGUGAAAUUGUAAAUCCAUGUUCUUAUUGAGGGGCAUAACUGUUUGUUUGGCUGG
rnacentral:lncRNA from 1 species